AUAAAGGGAGGCCCAGGGGAUGGAGGCAGAGGGGACAGUCCCCAGGCCCUGGCCCUGAUUUUCAGGUGGCCACUGGUCAGAACUGUCAGCUGUGCCUGUCCCCCAGACUGCAAAUUGAAAACAGCAAAUGUAGCUCUAUUCUUUUUUAUUUUCCUCCCCCCUCCAUCUCUGCCCCUUUUCUCUUGUUUCUUUCUUUCUUUUCUUUUUUUUUGUCAAUGAGGAAUACAAGGCCACUGCCAAAAACAUAUCCCACACAAUCAAACAUCAGAUGGUGACUCCUUUCCCACAGCUUGUGUUCUAUUUUUCUCAGCCUAUUCCGGGAUCUGGACACAUGAGAGAACAAAACAUAUGACAUCAACUAAAACAUCACUCGAUUUUCA
rnacentral:lncRNA from 1 species